AGUGAACGCUGGCGGUAGGCCUAACACAUGCCAGUCGAACGGCAGCACAGUAAGAGCUUGCUCUUACGGGUGGCGAGUGGCGGACGGGUGAGGAAUACAUCGGAAUCUACUUUUUCGUGGGGGAUAACGUAGGGAAACUUACGCUAAUACCGCAUACGACCUACGGGUGAAAGCAGGGGAUCUUCGGACCUUGCGCGAUUGAAUGAGCCGAUGUCGGAUUAGCUAGUUGGCGGGGUAAAGGCCCACCAAGGCGACGAUCCGUAGCUGGUCUGAGAGGAUGAUCAGCCACACUGGAACUGAGACACGGUCCAGACUCCUACGGGAGGCAGCAGUGGGGAAUAUUGGACAAUGGGCGCAAGCCUGAUCCAGCCAUACCGCGUGGAUGAAGAAGGCCUUCGGGUUGUAAAGCCCUUUUGUUGGGAAAGAAAAGCAGCAGGUUAAUACCCCGCUGUUCUGACGGUACCCAAAGAAUAAGCACCGGCUAACUUCGUG
rnacentral:rRNA from 1 species